GUAAUUAGGCAAUAUCAGAGAGAUUUUUCAAGGUUGCCUUUAGACCUAAAAUGAGAAAAAGACUGAUUGUUUUAACCCCAAAGCAGUGUGAUCUUGUCCUAAUCUUCCUUCAAGCCCCCCUUCCCCAGCGUAGAGUGGGAUUUUAGACUAGCUUAUGGGCACCUUGGGUCCUUGACUAACUUCAUGGGAUAUUUGCUACCUCCCACCAACAAAGGUAUCGGGUAACUCUGUCUAU
rnacentral:misc_RNA from 1 species